rnacentral:rRNA from 1 species
UACGGAGGGUGCGAGCGUUAUCCGGAUUCACUGGGUUUAAAGGGUGCGUAGGUGGGAAUGUAAGUCAGUGGUGAAAUCUCUGAGCUUAACUCAGAAACUGCCAUUGAUACUAUGUUUCUUGAAUUUUCUGGAGGUCAGCGGAAUAUGUCAUGUAGCGGUGAAAUGCUUAGAUAUGACAUAGAACACCAAUUGCGAAGGCAGCUCACUAAACUGUAACUGACGCUGAGGCACGAAAGCGUGGGGAGCAAACAGG